AUUAAGGAAGGCAUGUUGUCCUUGUAAUGGGGAUCCAGCAGGUUGGCCACCCAGUAAUCAGCACAAGUUAGAAUGUGGGCAACUCGGCAGUCAUUGCUCAGGCUCUUUGGUGACUCUAGAUAACCUCGGGCCGAUCGCACGUCCCCGUGACGACGGCGACGACGCAUUCAGAUGUCUGCCCUAUCAACUUUCGAUGGUACUUUCUGCGCCUACCAUGGUGACCAUAGAUAACUGGGAAUCAGGGUUUGAUUCCG
rnacentral:rRNA from 1 species